rnacentral:rRNA from 1 species
UACGUAGGGACCGAGCGUUGUCCGGAAUCAUUGGGCGUAAAGAGCGUGUAGGCGGCCUUUUAAGUCCUGCGUGAAAUCCUGCGGCUCAACCGCAGACGGUCGUGGGAAACUGGAAGGCUAGAGUGCGGGAGAGGAGAGUGGAAUUCCCGGUGUAGCGGUGAAAUGCGCAGAUAUCGGGAAGAACACCCGUGGCGAAGGCGGCUCUCUGGGCCGAUACUGACGCUGAGGAGCGAAAGCGUGGGGAGCGAACAGG